GUAGUACUCCCUCCGUCCCAAAAUUCUUGUCAUAAAUUUGUCUAGAUACGGAUGUACCUAAUACUAAAAUGUGACUUGAUACAUCCAUAUUUAGACAAAUCUAAGACAAGAAUUUUGGGACAGAGGGAGUACUUG
rfam:Triticum urartu cultivar G1812 contig614223, whole genome shotgun sequence.